AUAAAAGUUACUUACAGAUUAUUUAAUAGUCAUAAUAUUUGUAAAACAUUAUGGUAGAAAAUGCUGUGAGAUUAUAAUUACAGUUAUAAUUAUAGGAUGGAAGAAUUACUUGUUUGAAUUUAUUCACGUAUCAUGCAUUUCAUGAUCUCUUCCUCUGUACUCAGCACUGUGCCCUCUCACAAGAUCAUCACGGGCUAGUGACAAAUGAUCAGAUACAAAAAUAUACUAUGAGUCAGCGGAACGUGCCACGCUUUAAGGCAGACAAACAUGCAGCUGGCCCAUGGGGAGGGAGGAAGGACUAGAGGGACACGGGGACGGUUUUUCAAACCAGGCAAGUGGAGACGAGAGCAGAAAGAAAGAGCAGCUUGCGCAAAGGCCCUGGGUCUCUCAGAUCACGUGGAAUCUCUUGAUCGGUUCCACAUGGACCAGCUUCUGACACCCUGGCUGCAGAACAGAAGCGGCGGCUGGGAGAGCUCUGCCCUCUCUCACUAGCUGGAAUCCCGUCUCCAACUCUCUGCAGCCGACUCCAUCUGCGCAUCA